AGUGAACGCUGGCGGCGUGCUUAACACAUGCAAGUCGAACGAGAACGGAUUAUAGCUUGCUAUAAUUGUCAGCUAAGUGGCGCACGGGUGAGUAAUGUAUAGGUAAUAUGCCUCUUACUAAGGGAUAACAAAUGGAAACGUUUGCUAAUACCUUAUACUCCUUAUUAACCUAAGUUAAUAAGGGAAAGAUUUAUUGGUAAGAGAUUAGCCUGUAUUGUAUCAGUUAGUUGGUGGGGUAAUGGCUUACCAAGACUAUGACACAUAACUGGUUUGAGAGGAUGAUCAGUCACACUGGAACUGAUACACGGUCCAGACUCCUACGGGAGGCAGCAGUGGGGAAUAUUGCACAAUGGACGAAAGUCUGAUGCAGCAACGCCGCGUGGAGGAUGACACAUUUCGGUGCGUAAACUCCUUUUAUAUGAGAAGAUAAUGACGGUAUUAUAUGAAUAAGCACCGGCUAGCUCCGUGCCAGCCGCCGCCGUAACAC
rnacentral:rRNA from 1 species